rnacentral:rRNA from 1 species
UACGUAGGGUGCGAGCGUUGUCCGGAAUUAUUGGGCGUAAAGAGCUUGUAGGCGGUUUGUCGCGUCUGCCGUGAAAAUCCGGGGCUCAACCCCGGACUUGCGGUGGGUACGGGCAGACUAGAGUGUGGUAGGGGAGACUGGAAUUCCUGGUGUAGCGGUGAAAUGCGCAGAUAUCAGGAGGAACACCGAUGGCGAAGGCAGGUCUCUGGGCCACUACUGACGCUGAGAAGCGAAAAGCGUGGGGGAGCGAAACAGG